UACGUAGGGUGCGAGCGUUGUCCGGAUUUAUUGGGCGUAAAGAGCUCGUAGGCGGUUUGUUGCGUCGGCUGUGAAAUCCCGAGGCUCAACCUCGGGUCUGCAGUCGAUACGAGCAAACUAGAGUGUUGCAGGGGAGACUGGAAUUCCUGGUGUAGCGGUGAAAUGCGCAGAUAUCAGGAGGAACACCGGUGGCGAAGGCGGGUCUCUGGGCCGAUACUGACGCUGAGGAGCGAAAGCGUGGGGAGCGAACAGG
rnacentral:rRNA from 1 species